rnacentral:rRNA from 1 species
GUCUACAGACAUACCCCCCGAAUGUGCCCAACUUGUCUGAUCUCCGAAGCUAAGCAGGGUUGAAUGUGGUUAGUACUUGGAUGGGAGACUGCCUGAGAAUAUCAGGUGUGCUGUAAGCU